GUUGAGGGUAGGCAGAGGUCCGUAAUCCAGGGCAGAGUCAAUAAGGUACAGAACGGCAGGCAGGCUCUGGGUCAGGGCAGGCAGAGGUUCGUAAUCCGGUCAAAGUCAGGCAGGUACAGAACAGCAGGCAGGCUCGGGUCAGGGCAGGCACAAUGGUUAGAAGCGGGGAGAAUAGGAAAUAGAAACUUGAGAAAACAGGAAGACGGGAAAGCAUGCUGGCAACUGACAAGGAGAGAACACAGGUAUAAAUACACUGGGGAAGAUGGGCGACACAUGGAAGGGGGUUGAGACAAGAACAAAGACAGGUGAAACCGAUCAGGGUGUGACAAAAACAAGUGGCGGGGACCUCGUUUUGUUGUUUUUCAAAUCCCAGAACGGAGCUUUAUUACAUGGUUUUACAUCAUUGUCCCCCAUCAGAUCAAACCAUACUACACCUUAUUCAACAUGUUCCUGAAGUCAACAACUUGUACCAUGGCCAACGUAGCAAGUGAACACAAACAUCGCCCUGAAUGCAGUUUUAAAUCCAGCAGGUGAGACUGUUCAAGCCAUCGACUCACUGAUGGUUGAAGAUGAUAAGCGAUCGGCAGUCUGGAAUCUGCUGGCAUCACGGCUCAACAUCAACAUCACACUAAUCAGAGUCAGAAGACAGUUGAAGAAACUUGAAUUGACUUAUGGAAAGGCUCUGACAUACGUAUAUAUAUAAAAAAAUCUCUCUCUCUCUCUCUCUCUCUCUCUAUAUAUAUAUAUAUAUAUUCAUUUUUUUCCAGAACAUUAAUCACAUGUUCUCUUGUUUUGUACUGUCUAGUUUCGACCCAAUGAUUCGUCUGACAAACAAAUAACUUUGCGUCCUGCAGGCCCAAUGACAUAAUCAAGAGAUAUGCUGGACCCUAUGUCAGAGAAGUGUUUUUGGGACCACAUUUUUUCUUUCAAGACAAUGACCCAAAACACACUGCCGCCCGUGUUUGCGUUGCAAAUGAGGUCAUAAACUGGGUCAAGACGCCAGCAGAGUAACACUUUUAACAGCACAUUACUCAACACUAAUGAGACUCGCAUCAUCCACGGUAGGCCUACAGUAUAUCUAUAAAUAUUUUUUUCAUCUCUACAUGUAGGUCUCCUGAUCAAACUUGUUUGGCAUUAACUGAAAUCAUUCAUCCGUAACUCAGCCAAGCCAACAAGCAAAUAUGAACUGGUGAAGGCCAUCAAGAUGUUUUGGCUUGAGAAACUGAUGAUACAACAGUGCAACAAAUACAUUGAUCAUCUCAGCAAGGUUUUACCCGUGGUCAUGGAGCUGGGGGGAAGUGCAACUAAAAUGUAGCUGAGGUGUACAGUAGUUGAAAUAAACUGCAUUUUGAAAGAGUCUUUUUAUCAUGAUUUUAUUAAUGAAAGCAUAAAGAUGUUGAUGUACAAAUACUGUACAGUAUAUGUUUUAUCCGACAUUUUGCAGUUGAUUGAGGUUUUGAGUUAGAAAUGUACAACUUUAGAGUACUUAAACAUCAAAUACAUUGCAAGUUGAGAGGGAUUUUUCAC